GUCAACCACUUAGAAUUGGGUAUUUUUGGUACCCAUGUCUACAAAAAGUGUAUGGCUUCCCUUGACAGUACUAUACUGAGGGGCAAGUGUUCCCAGUGUCUUUAAAUUGUUAGGUUCUCCAUAGUAUGAAUUCUCCAAAAUACAAAAUAGUCUGGUUACUUGUUGCACUGUCCCAUAUUUAGUACUUUCAUAGAACUUCAUUCCUAAGAGCAUUUUCUUAUGUACAAUGAACUGUCAUUUCUUAAAAAUAUUGCCUCAUUUCCCACAUUCAUGGGGUUUUCCCUCAUCCCCAGUGGGAAUAUUUCUAAUAGCUUAAGAGACUUGAUUUCUGGAAGGCUUUUGGACAUUCACAGGAUUCUUCUUUGCUGUGAAUGUUCUACUCUAUAAGGCUUGUCUACGGUUUUAAAAGUUUUUGAGAUCCACUGCAGUCAUGGGUUCACUCUACUCUAUGAAUUAUGAUCGGCUUUCCAUACACCACCUCAUUUAGAGUUCUCAUCCUCAUGGAGUACAGACACCUAACACGACGUGACUGUCUACAAACGUUAUCAUAAUUGCAUUUCCUGAAGUCCAAGAUGAUCUGUCAAAGACUACUAUUAACUGUAUUCCUAGGAUUUUUUUACUGUAUGAGUUCUCUGAUGAUUGAUGAGCUGUGACUUCUGUGAGAAAGCUUUCCCACAUUCAAUGCAUCGAUAAGGCUUCUCUCCUGUAUGAAUUCUCUGAUGAUUAACCAGCUGUGACUUCUGAGAGAAGGCCUUCCUACAUUCACUGCAUCCAUAGGGUUUCUCACCUGUAUGUGUCCUUUGAUGUGGUAUAAGGUGUGACUUCCGAGAGAAAGCUUUGCCACACUCACUGCAUUCAAAAGGCUUCUCUCCUGUAUGUAUUCUCUGAUGAUUGAUGAGACUUGACUUCUCCCUGAAGGCUUUUCUACAUUCAUUGCAUUCAUAAGGUUUUUCUCCUGUAUGAGUUCUCAGAUGUCUAAUUAGCUCUGACUUCUCAAAAAAAGCUUUCCUACAAAGACUGCAUUCAUAGGGUUUCUCUCCAGUGUGAAUUCUCUGAUGGGUAUUUAGCUGUGAUUUCUGGGAGAAAGCUUUUUCACAGUCCCUGCAUUCAUACGGUUUUUCUCCAGUAUGAGUUCUCUGAUGAGUUGCAAGACUUGACUUCUCACCAAAGGCCUUCCCACAUUCACUGCAUUCAUAGGGUUUCUCCCCUGUAUGUGUCCUCUGAUGUGAUAUGAGAUGUGACUUCUGACAAAAGGCUUUCCCACAUUCACUGCAUACAUAUGGUUUUUCUCCUGUAUGAAUUCUUUGAUGAUUAGUGAGACUUAAUUUUUCACUGAAAGCUUUCCCACACUCACUGCAUUCAUACGGUUUUUCUCCUGUAUGAGUUCUGUGAUGUGUAAUAAACUGAGACUUCUGGGGAAAGGUUUUGCCACAAUUACCACAGCCAAAGGCUAUGUCUCUUAUAUGUCUGCUCUGAUGUUUAAUGAGACUUGGUUUCUUACUGAAGCGCUUCCUACAUUCACUGCAUUCAUAGAGUUUCUCCCCUAAACGAUUUCUAUGAUAUAUGAUAAUCUGUGACUUUUUAUAGCUCUCUUUAUAUUUAUCACAGUCAUAGUAUUUUAACCAGGUAUCAGUAUCCUCAGGCUUGGAAUGGAGAAAAAAAUUAUCAAACACAUUAAAGUCAUCUGAUUCUGCUUUUCCAUAAUCUCCUUUUGGAAUAAGCAAAUCUAAAUGAUGUUUUAAAAUCAAUCCAUCUAAGUCACCUUCACUGUUUGAUUUCCUUAAAGGAACAAAGUUCAUGUUCAGAUUGAAAUUUUUUCCAAAUGCAUCACAUUCAUGACCUCUUUUUA
rnacentral:lncRNA from 1 species